UUAAAUUGAAGAGUUUGAUCAUGGCUCAGAUUGAACGCUGGCGGCAGGCCUAACACAUGCAAGUCGAACGGUAACAGGAAGAAGCUUGCUUCUUUGCUGACGAGUGGCGGACGGGUGAGUAAUGUCUGGGAAACUGCCUGAUGGAGGGGGAUAACUACUGGAAACGGUAGCUAAUACCGCAUAACGUCGCAAGACCAAAGAGGGGGACCUUCGGGCCUCUUGCCAUCGGAUGUGCCCAGAUGGGAUUAGCUAGUAGGUGGGGUAACGGCUCACCUAGGCGACGAUCCCUAGCUGGUCUGAGAGGAUGACCAGCCACACUGGAACUGAGACACGGUCCAGACUCCUACGGGAGGCAGCAGUGGGGAAUAUUGCACAAUGGGCGCAAGCCUGAUGCAGCCAUGCCGCGUGUAUGAAGAAGGCCUUCGGGUUGUAAAGUACUUUCAGCGGGGAGGAAGGGAGUAAAGUUAAUACCUUUGCUCAUUGACGUUACCCGCAGAAGAAGCACCGGCUAACUCCGUGCCAGCAGCCGCGGUAAUACGGAGGGUGCAAGCGUUAAUCGGAAUUACUGGGCGUAAAGCGCACGCAGGCGGUUUGUUAAGUCAGAUGUGAAAUCCCCGGGCUCAACCUGGGAACUGCAUCUGAUACUGGCAAGCUUGAGUCUCGUAGAGGGGGGUAGAAUUCCAGGUGUAGCGGUGAAAUGCGUAGAGAUCUGGAGGAAUACCGGUGGCGAAGGCGGCCCCCUGGACGAAGACUGACGCUCAGGUGCGAAAGCGUGGGGAGCAAACAGGAUUAGAUACCCUGGUAGUCCACGCCGUAAACGAUGUCGACUUGGAGGUUGUGCCCUUGAGGCGUGGCUUCCGGAGCUAACGCGUUAAGUCGACCGCCUGGGGAGUACGGCCGCAAGGUUAAAACUCAAAUGAAUUGACGGGGGCCCGCACAAGCGGUGGAGCAUGUGGUUUAAUUCGAUGCAACGCGAAGAACCUUACCUGGUCUUGACAUCCACGGAAGUUUUCAGAGAUGAGAAUGUGCCUUCGGGAACCGUGAGACAGGUGCUGCAUGGCUGUCGUCAGCUCGUGUUGUGAAAUGUUGGGUUAAGUCCCGCAACGAGCGCAACCCUUAUCCUUUGUUGCCAGCGGUCCGGCCGGGAACUCAAAGGAGACUGCCAGUGAUAAACUGGAGGAAGGUGGGGAUGACGUCAAGUCAUCAUGGCCCUUACGACCAGGGCUACACACGUGCUACAAUGGCGCAUACAAAGAGAAGCGACCUCGCGAGAGCAAGCGGACCUCAUAAAGUGCGUCGUAGUCCGGAUUGGAGUCUGCAACUCGACUCCAUGAAGUCGGAAUCGCUAGUAAUCGUGGAUCAGAAUGCCACGGUGAAUACGUUCCCGGGCCUUGUACACACCGCCCGUCACACCAUGGGAGUGGGUUGCAAAAGAAGUAGGUAGCUUAACCUUCGGGAGGGCGCUUACCACUUUGUGAUUCAUGACUGGGGUGAAGUCGUAACAAGGUAACCGUAGGGGAACCUGCGGUUGGAUCACCUCCUUACCUUAAAGAAGC
rnacentral:rRNA from 12 species